rnacentral:piRNA from 1 species
GUCCAAAAAAUAGAAUGUUGUUUUCCU